UAUCCGUGGUGUGGACAAUCUCUUUGGUAUUCUCUAAAUCUUUCCCAAGAAUCUAAAAGAUCUUCAUCUUUUUUUGUUUAAAACUUCUUAUCUUGUUCUUUAAGAGA
rnacentral:snoRNA from 1 species